rnacentral:rRNA from 1 species
AAAGAAUUUCGGUAUGGGAUGGGGAUGCGUUCCAUUAGUUAGUUGGCGGGGUAACGGCCCACCAAGACGACGAUGGAUAGGGGUUCUGAGAGGAAGGUCCCCCACAUUGGAACUGAGACACGGUCCAAACUCCUACGGGAGGCAGCAGUGAGGAAUAUUGGUCAAUGGACGAGAGUCUGAACCAGCCAAGUAGCGUGAAGGAUGACUGCCCUAUGGGUUGUAAACUUCUUUUAUAUGGGAAUAAAAUGUUCCACGUGUGGGAUUUUGUAUGUACCAUAUGAAUAAGGAUCGGCUAACUCCGUGCCAGCAGCCGCGGUAAUACGGAGGAUCCGAGCGUUAUCCGGAUUUAUUGGGUUUAAAGGGAGCGUAGGUGGAUUGUUAAGUCAGUUGUGAAAGUUUGCGGCUCAACCGUAAAAUUGCAGUUGAAACUGGCAGUCUUGAGUACAGUAGAGGUGGGCGGAAUUCGUGGUGUAGCGGUGAAAUGCUUAGAUAUCACGAAGAACUCCGAUUGCGAAGGCAGCUCACUGGACUGCAACUGACACUGAGGCUCGAAAGUGUGGGUAUCAAACAGGAUUAGAUACCCUGGUAGUCCACACAGUAAACGAUGAAUACUCGCUGUUUGCGAUAUACAGCAA